GUUACAGAAGUAGAGGAAGGCAAAUGCAUCCAGCUGGAGGAGUCAUAUGCUGUGUCAGGAAGUGAUAAUUUACACUCCAGCUGGUGAUCGAUCAUCUCAGAAUGGUGCAUGAGGUGAGCUGACAACGGCAGCCAGGGGAAGGAACGCGAGGGCCCAGGAUGGAAAUGAGAGCUUCAAAUGUGAGAACACAUUCCAGCUGCAGGAUCAGAGGACUUUUCCUACAGCCCAUAAGUGCCUGCAGCUCUAUCGGAUUUGCAAAUCUACAAAAGAGAGCACAUCCUAUUGUUCCCGGUUUUGAGUUUUUUUAAUAGUAUGUCUUGUAAAAUGCUGGUUGCUGGUGGACAGGGGUGUUUUACAGAUAGGUGUGACUCAGGAGGGGAAAUGGGUGGGCAGAGACAGCCACAAGGAAUUCCACACAUGAAGGAAAUGCUCCCACUUGUGUUUUCUAUUUGUGUUUUAAAUUUGGGGAGCGACUCACAGGCACUCAGCAAAAGUAACUAAUUAUAUUAACCUUAUCAGUAGUGAGGUUUCCUGGUCUCUCAUCAGACACUCAGCUCACUGGCUGGUAUUUAAUUGGGAGCCUGGUGGCCAGUGAAAACAGUGUGGGAUGAGUCACACUUUAACAAGUUUUUAUAGUACAGCAACCUUGCUGUAUAAUAGCCAGACAUUAUUAAAAUUCAGAUAUGGUACACUGACUUGUUUGUUUUCCUUAUUCACAUGAAACAGAUGCUCAGGACUCAUUUUACUUACACACAGUAAAUGAGGGUCAGCUGUGUUGAGGGAAGUGAG
rnacentral:lncRNA from 1 species